CCAAGUCUCAAGAGUGAACACGUAAUUCAUUACGAAGUUUAAUUCUUUGAGCAUCAAACUUUUAAAUUGAAGAGUUUGAUCAUGGCUCAGAUUGAACGCUGGCGGCAGGCCUAACACAUGCAAGUCGAACGGUAACAGGAAACAGCUUGCUGUUUCGCUGACGAGUGGCGGACGGGUGAGUAAUGUCUGGGAAACUGCCUGAUGGAGGGGGAUAACUACUGGAAACGGUAGCUAAUACCGCAUAACGUCGCAAGACCCAAGAGGGGGACCUUCGGGCCUCUUGCCAUCGGAUGUGCCCAGAUGGGAUUAGCUAGUAGGUGGGGUAACGGCUCACCUAGGCGACGAUCCCUAGCUGGUCUGAGAGGAUGACCAGCCACACUGGAACUGAGACACGGUCCAGACUCCUACGGGAGGCAGCAGUGGGGAAUAUUGCACAAUGGGCGCAAGCCUGAUGCAGCCAUGCCGCGUGUAUGAAGAAGGCCUUCGGGUUGUAAAGUACUUUCAGCGGGGAGGAAGGGAGUAAAGUUAAUACCUUUGCUCAUUGACGUUACCCGCAGAAGAAGCACCGGCUAACUCCGUGCCAGCAGCCGCGGUAAUACGGAGGGUGCAAGCGUUAAUCGGAAUUACUGGGCGUAAAGCGCACGCAGGCGGUUUGUUAAGUCAGAUGUGAAAUCCCCGGGCUCAACCUGGGAACUGCAUCUGAUACUGGCAAGCUUGAGUCUCGUAGAGGGGGGUAGAAUUCCAGGUGUAGCGGUGAAAUGCGUAGAGAUCUGGAGGAAUAUCGGUGGCGAAGGCGGCCCCCUGGACGAAGACUGACGCUCAGGUGCGAAAGCGUGGGGAGCAAACAGGAUUAGAUACCCUGGUAGUCCACGCCGUAAACGAUGUCGACUUGGAGGUUGUGCCCUUGAGGCGUGGCUUCCGGAGCUAACGCGUUAAGUCGACCGCCUGGGGAGUACGGCCGCAAGGUUAAAACUCAAAUGAAUUGACGGGGGCCCGCACAAGCGGUGGAGCAUGUGGUUUAAUUCGAUGCAACGCGAAGAACCUUACCUGGUCUUGACAUCCACGGAAGUUUUCAGAGAUGAGAAUGUGCCUUCGGGAACCGUGAGACAGGUGCUGCAUGGCUGUCGUCAGCUCGUGUUGUGAAAUGUUGGGUUAAGUCCCGCAACGAGCGCAACCCUUAUCCUUUGUUGCCAGCGGUCCGGCCGGGAACUCAAAGGAGACUGCCAGUGAUAAACUGGAGGAAGGUGGGGAUGACGUCAAGUCAUCAUGGCCCUUACGACCAGGGCUACACACGUGCUACAAUGGCGCAUACAAAGAGAAGCGACCUCGCGAGAGCAAGCGGACCUCAUAAAGUGCGUCGUAGUCCGGAUUGGAGUCUGCAACUCGACUCCGUGAAGUCGGAAUCGCUAGUAAUCGUGGAUCAGAAUGCCACGGUGAAUACGUUCCCGGGCCUUGUACACACCGCCCGUCACACCAUGGGAGUGGGUUGCAAAAGAAGUAGGUAGCUUAACCUUCGGGAGGGCGCUUACCACUUUGUGAUUCAUGACUGGGGUGAAGUCGUAACAAGGUAACCGUAGGGGAACCUGCGGUUGGAUCACCUCCUUACCUUAAAGAAGCGUACUUUGCGGUGCUCACACAGAUUGUCU
rnacentral:rRNA from 1 species